AGAGUUUGAUCCUGGCUCAGGAUGAACGCUAGCUACAGGCUUAACACAUGCAAGUCGAGGGGCAGCGGGUUGAAAGCUUGCUUUCAAUGCCGGCGACCGGCGCACGGGUGCGUAACGCGUAUCAAACCUGCCUCAUACUCGGGGAUAGCCUUGCGAAAGUAAGAUUAAUACCCGAUGUUGUUGCUUUCUCGCAUGGGAGAGUAACCAAAGAUUUAUCGGUAUGAGAUGGUGAUGCGUCCGAUUAGGUAGUAGGCGGGGUAACGGCCCACCUAGCCUUCGAUCGGUAGGGGUUCUGAGAGGAAGGUCCCCCACACUGGAACUGAGACACGGUCCAGACUCCUACGGGAGGCAGCAGUGAGGAAUAUUGGUCAAUGGGCGAGAGCCUGAACCAGCCAAGUAGCGUGCAGGAUGACGGCCCUCCGGGUUGUAAACUGCUUUUAGUUGGGAAUAAAAAAGGGACUUGUCCCUUCUUGUAUGUACCUUCAGAAAAAGGACCGGCUAAUUCCGUG
rnacentral:rRNA from 1 species